rnacentral:rRNA from 1 species
AUUGAACGCUGGCGGCGUGCCUAACACAUGCAAGUCGAGCGGUAACAGGUGUAGCAAUACAUGCUGACGAGCGGCGGACGGGUGAGUAGCGCUUGGGAAUCUGCCUAUUAGUGGGGGACAACCCGGGGAAACUCGGGCUAAUACCGCAUACGCUCUACGGAGGAAAGCCGGGGACCGCAAGGCCUGGCGCUAAUAGAUGAGCCCAAGUCGGAUUAGCUAGUUGGAGGGUAACGGCCUACCAAGGCUACGAUCCGUAACUGGUCUGAGAGGACGACCAGUCACACCGGAACUGAGACACGGUCCGGACUCCUACGGGAGGCAGCAGUGGGGAAUAUUGGACAAUGGGGGAAACCCUGAUCCAGCGACGCCGCGUGGGUGAAGAAGGCCUGCGGGUUGUAAAGCCCUUUCAGUGGGGAAGAAAAGCCUCGACCUAACACGUCGGGGUCUUGACGUAACCCAUAGAAGAAGCACCGGCUAACUCUGUGCCAGCCGCCGCCGUAA